rnacentral:rRNA from 1 species
GACAGAGGGUGCAAACGUUGUUCGGAUUUACUGGGCGUAAAGCGCGUGUAGGCGGCUUGGCAAGUUGGAUGUGAAAGCCCACGGCUCAACCGUGGAAGAGCAUCCAAAACUGCUUCGCUCGAGUCUCGGAGAGGAAGGUGGAAUGCUUGGUGUAGAGGUGAAAUUCGUAGAUAUCAGGAGGAACACCGAUGGCGAAGGCAGGUCUCUGGGCCACUACUGACGCUGAGAAGCGAAAGCGUGGGGAGCGAACAGG